CCCAUAGACGAUGAUGAGAUGGUCCAAUAUAUCCUGAAUCGCCUUGACUUUGAUUACAAUCCUUUCAUAUCAUCAAUGCUUGGUUGUGUUGGAUCUGUCUCUUUGAGUGAUCUGUACUGCCAGCUUCUUUC
rnacentral:snoRNA from 1 species